UGUAUGGACUCAAAUUCUUUGGAAAAAGAUGCCAUGGAGAGUGACAGUCUCGUACUUUUCAAUACAUUUUCCACAUAUAACUCCUUCAAAGAGUCGAGUUGUUUGGGAAUGCAGCUCAAAGUGGGACGUAAAUUUGUUCCAAAGCUAAAUACCGGCUAGAGACCGAUAGCGCACAAGUAGAGUGAUCGAAAGAUGAAAAGCACUUUGAAAAGAGAGUUAAAAAGCACGUGAAAUUGUUGAAAGGGAAGCUUGUGUAAUCAGAAAUGGUGUCAUUGUUCAGCCGACUUUUGGUGUAUUCAAUGAUUGCCAGGCUAGCAUCAGUUUGCAUGAUUGGAUAAAAGUGUUGGAAAUGUAGCUCCUCUGGGAGUGUUAUAGUCUGAUACAGAAUGCAACCAAUGCAGACUGAGGACCGCUGAUAGGAUGC
rnacentral:rRNA from 1 species